rnacentral:rRNA from 1 species
UACGGAGGGGGCUAGCGUUGUUCGGAAUUCCUGGGCGUAAAGCGCGCGUAGGCGGCUUUGUAAGUUAGAGGUGAAAGCCCAGGGCUUAACCCUGGAAUUGCCUUUAAGACUGCAUCGCUAGAAUCGUGGAGAGGUGAGUGGAAUUCCGAGUGUAGAGGUGAAAUUCGUAGAUAUUCGGAAGAACACCAGUGGCGAAGGCGACUCACUGGACACGUAUUGACGCUGAGGUGCGAAAGCGUGGGGAGCAAACAGG